UACGUAGGGGGCAAGCGUUGUCCGGAUUUAUUGGGCGUAAAGAGCUCGUAGGUGGUUCGGUAAGUCGGAUGUGAAAUCUCCAGGCUCAACCUGGAGGGGUCAUUCGAUACUGCCGUGACUAGAGUUCGGUAGGGGAGUGUGGAAUUCCCGGUGUAGCGGUGAAAUGCGCAGAUAUCGGGAAGAACACCCGUGGCGAAGGCGGCUCUCUGGGACGGUACUGACGCUGAGACGCGAAAGCGUGGGGAGCGAACAGG
rnacentral:rRNA from 1 species